GACGAACGCUGGCGGCGUGCCUAAUACAUGCAAGUCGAACGCAGUGGGGACGGGUGCGUAACACGUGGGUAACCUCCCAUCAGAGGGGAUAACACUUGGACACAGGUGCUAAACCGAUACUGAUGGAUGGACCCGCGGUGCAUUAGCUAGGUGGUGGGGUAAAGGCUCACCAAGGCGACGAUACAUAGCCGGCCUGAGCGGGUGAUCGGCCACACUGGGGCGGAGGCACGGGCCAGACUCCUACGGGAGGCAGCAGUAGGGAUUCUUCGGCAAUGGACGGAAGUCGGACCGAGCAACGCCGCGGGGGUGAAGAAGGUUUUCGGAUCGAAAAGCGCUGUUGUUAGAGAAGCGGUAACUAACCAGAAAGGAACAGCUAACUACGUGCCAGCAGCCGCGGUAAUUC
rnacentral:rRNA from 1 species